rnacentral:rRNA from 1 species
UGGGCGGACCAUCCUCCAAGGCUAAAUACUACUGACUGACCGAUAGUGAACCAGUACCGUGAGGGAAAGGCGAAAAGAACCCCGGAGAGGGGAGUGAAAUAGAACCUGAAACCGUAUGCGUACAAGCAGUGGGAGCCUACUUUGUUAGGUGACUGCGUACCUUUUGUAUAAUGGGUCAGCGACUUAUAUUCAGUGGCGAGCUUAACCGAAUAGGGGAGGCGUAGCGAAAGCGAGUCUUAAUAGGGCGUUUAGUCGCUGGGUAUAGACCCGAAACCGGGCG